rnacentral:tRNA from 1 species
GCCUUCUUGGCGCAGUCGGCAGCGCGUCAAUCUCAUAAUUUGAAUGUCGUGAGUUCGAACCUCACAGGGGGUA